CCUACGGGUGGCAGCAGUGGGGAAUAUUGCACAAUGGGGGAAACCCUGAUGCAGCGACGCCGCGUGAGUGAAGAAGUAUUUCGGUACGUAAAGCCCUAUUAGCAGGGAAGAAAAUGACGGUACCUGACUAAGAAGCCCCGGCUAACUACGUGCCAGCAGCCGCGGCAAUACGGAGGGGGCAAGCGUUAUUCGGAUUUACUGGGUGUAAAGGGAGCGUAGACGGGAGCGCAAGUCUGGAGUGAAAUCCGAUGGCUUAAACAUGGAACUGCUUUGGAAACUGUGCAGCUAGAGUGCAGGAGAGGUAAGCGGAAUGCGUGGUGUAGCGGUGAAAUGCGUAGAUAUUAGGAAGAACACCAGUGGCGAAGGCAGCAUACUGGACUGUAACUGACGUUGAGGCUCGAAAGCGUGGGGAGCAAACAGGAUUAGAUACCCCAGUAGUC
rnacentral:rRNA from 1 species